rnacentral:rRNA from 1 species
AUUGAACGCUGGCGGCAGGCCUAACACAUGCAAGUCGAGCGGAGCGGGGGACGGGCGAGUGAGGCAUAGGAAUCUGCCUGGUAGUGGGGGAUGACGUCCGGAAACGGGCGCUAAUACAGCCUACUCGCAAACGAGCCUAGGUGGGAUUAGCUAGUUGGUGGGGUAAGGGCUUACCAAGGCGACGAUCCGUAACUGGUCUGAGAGGAUGAUCAGUCACACUGGAACUGAGACACGGUCCAGACUCCUACGGGAGGCAGCAGUGGGGAAUAUUGGACAAUGGGCGAAAGCCUGAUCCAGCCAUGCCGCGUGUGUGAAGAAGGUCUUCGGAUUGUAAAGCACUUUAAGUUGGGAGGCGUUACCAACAGAAUAAGCACCGGCUAACUUCGUGCCAGCAGCCGCGGUAAUAC